GAUGAACGCUGGCGGCGUGCCUAAUACAUGCAAGUCGAGCGAACAGAUGAGGAGCUUGCUCCUCUGACGUUAGCGGCGGACGGGUGAGUAACACGUGGAUAACCUACCUAUAAGACUGGGAUAACCUCGGGAAACCGGAGCCAAUACCGGAUAAUAUAUUGAACCGCAUGGUGCAAUAGUUAAAGACGGUUUGGCUGUUACUUAUAGAUGGAUCCGCGCCGGAUUAGCUAGUUGGUAAGGUAACGGCUUACCAAGGCAACGAUGCGUAGCCGACCUGAGAGGAUGAUCGGCCACACUGGAACUGAGACACGGUCCAGACUCCUACGGGAGGCAGCAGUAGGGAAUCUUCCGCAAUGGGCGAAAGCCUGACGGAGCAACGCCGCGUGAGUGAUGAAGGUCUUCGGAUCGUAAAACUCUGUUAUUAGGGAAGAACAAAUGUGUAAGUAACUAUGCACGUCUUGACGGUACCUAAUCAGAAAGCCACGGCUAACUACGUG
rnacentral:rRNA from 1 species